UUAAGUAAACAAUAUAUUAGAAUAGAUAUUAAGAUAAAAAGGUAGACUUCAAUAAAUAUUUCCUGGUUUUCCUUAACCAUUGGCCAGAAAGACAACAGCAAUCUUGUAUGAAACAAGAAGUAAUUUCUAGCUAGAGGCCAGUAUUAGAAAAGCAGAGAGCUGAGAAGAAAGGACAGAGGUGACUUUGAGAAGUGUCCUCUUAUUAGAGGUGAAGGGGGUAAACUAACCCAAAGAAUGUAGUUAAAAACUGAUAAAAGUAACCUCCUUUGCUUUGCAGCCAAACACACAAUAAACUGGAACGAGUAGAUUUUUAAAGUGGUCAAAAGAGUUUCCAAGGGAAUUUUAACAGAUGAUAUUAUGCCAGAGAAUUUGAGUUCUUUGGAAAAAUGGGAGGAGGGAUUAAUGGGAGAGAGGGACAGACAGUUGGUCUGUACAUAUUUAAGAAUGACAGUCUGAUGACAAAUAUGUUGAGAAAGACGUGAAAAUUAAACAAAAAAUUCCUGAUUAAGAUAAUUUGAAGAAAAAAAUCUAGAAGCAUCAGAAGAAGCCUAUGCCAAGGAAAUGUGAAGAGAUGAAAGAGACGGGUGGUGUGGAAUAAUGGCAACAGCAAGGCUGAGAAAGAGAAGUUUGCCAAUUAUUUUUAAAGUUUUCUCUUUAGUGUAUGAAAUCACCACCUCUCAAUGUCAUCUAACCAAGAGUUGCCAUCCCUAACUUCCUGUUCCACAUAAUAAUGGCCUCCCUGGGCUAAUGUGUGUGAAUUUCAGGUCCAAGGGAAAUGAACCACUAACUUGUUGAGUGUUCUAAAGGCAGGAGAUUUACUAACCCUGAACUCACCCAGAGCUCCUGAAGUCUCAAUGUCAAGUUUGUAAAAUCACCAACAGGGAAUGAACCAGGAGACUUACAUUUUAAAAGACAUGUGGCUGUAACAUUUAUGUUAUUUACUGAAUAUAGCACAAACACCAAAUCUAAAAGAGUAGCGGGAGUCAUCGGCCAGAAAAAACCAACUCUCUCACAGGAUUCUUAGCAGAGGAAAAAAGGGUGGAAAAUGUCAAAAAUCUGAAAAAGCUAAAAGAAUGGGAAGAAAGACUAUAUAAAGACUAUUUAAAAACUCAAAUAUAUGCCACCCUGUUGACUUUUUAAUACAUUAUCAUUCAGCACUAGUUUUCUCUCUAUGUAUCUACAGAGGUUAAAAGCAGACCUUGAUCCUGAAAAUCUAGUACUAGUGAUGGGGAUGAAAACUCUACUGAAGAAAAUUAAAGCAAGCAUUUAACAAGAGCAGAUUCGGUCAUGUGACCUCAGAUGUGUGGAGGAAGAGCAAUAUAUGGAGGAACCUAAUACAGAGAAAACCAGGAAGCGUCCACCAGAGGAAGAGGAAAGUGGAUCGGGUGAAAUCUGGCAAUCCCCACAGCACUGGUGUUCACGCACUUCACAUGUGCUCAAGACUAUGCUGAUGAUGAAAUCAAUGUGCUGUUGGUGGAAACACUAUUAGGCAAGUGGCAAGGAAAACAUUCUAUGAAGCACUCGGGCCAGUUAUAACCUGCUUCUCCUAUCAUCAUGUCAACUUUAUGCAAUCAUCAUAUACAAAACUGAGCAUUUAUCAUCACUCUGAAGAAUCGAAACACGAUUCCCGGAGGUGUGCACACACUUGCCUCUAGCCCGGAGCUCGGCUCUUCCGAAGGGACCUGGCAGAGAGCACGGUUCUGCACACGUGCGCUGAAAGGCGGGGAGGUCAUUCCGUCCGCGGCCCUCCCUGUUUUUCAACACACAGUAAAAAGGCACACGCCCCCGGCCCGCCUGUGCCAGCACCUGAGCGAGAGGAUCUGCCCGCAAGGGAGGAAGGAAGCACCUAAAGCGCUGGGGGAGGAGACGUUAAGGAGGAGGGGUGCGCCGGCGGUGAGAGGCGGCCAGCGCGGGCCGGGGCCGGCCCGGGUCAGGGGCCGCAUUUCCCCGCGCAGGGCCGCGCACAAAGGCCCAAGGCCCGGGCCGCACUCACCGAAGUCCAGGAACUGCUUCAUGGAAAGCGGGGACGGCGAGAAGCGCGCGUAGAAGUCCACCUGGCCCGGAACGCCGCUCUCAGGCGCGGGCCCGGAGCCCGAGUCCGAGCCUCAGCCAAAAAGGGUUCCCACAACGGCGUGCUGCUGCGAGUCCGAGUGCGUUCCAGAAACUCUCCACGGUGAUGCAAGCCCCGUAUUUUACAGAUGAAGACGCCAAGACCCAGAGACCUUCAAGAUCUGACCCCUGCCAAGCAGUGGUACAAAAAUGCAAAUGAACACGGGGGAAUGUAUCCCUAAAUAUUAUCAGCGACUGCAGACCCAGAAGAUGAUUGGCAGACAGCCCAACUUGAAGCUUUUAUGUGCAGGCCUUCUAGGCAUGGUCAGCAACGUACUUAGAGGGUACCUCCCUCUUGACUUCACCGUCUUAGCCUCACAGUUUGGUAGUUCCAUCCUUUCCUCUUCUCCAAUUUCCUCGACUUAUGAUGGGUACCUCUGGUUAUGGUAAGUUGAAAAUGCAUUUAAUAAAUUUAUCCAGCAUCAUAGCUUAACCUAGCCGACCUUAAGCGUGCUCAGAACACUUCCAUUAGCCUACAGUUGGGCAAAAUCCUCUAACCCAAAGCCUAUUUUAUAGUAACACAUACCUUAUUGAAGUACUGUCCUGAAAGUGAAAAACAAUGGUUGUACAUAGGUUGUUUACGCUGGCGACUCUAGGGCUGAGUUGGAGUCGCAGCUGCUGCUGCAAGCACCACAAAAGAAUAUUGUACCACAUUUCAACUUGCUUGGGAAAAGAUCAAAAUUCAAGGUAUGAUUUCCACUGAAUGGGUAUCGCUUUUGCUCCACUGUAAAGUAGAAAAAUCGUAAGUUGAACUAUUGAAAAUCGGAAACUGUCUGUAGUGAAUACAAGACUUGACAAUUUAUUUUGGUUUAAUCCCAUAGAACUGCAAAGUCAGCAAUCUAUGCUGAAAAUCACCACUGCUGCCCCUUCUCUCCACCACUACUUCCCCCUUAUAUCUAUCCCCAGUGCUUUGGUAUGCCUUAGAUGCAACAAAAUUAUUUUUUCAUGGGUAGUUUAUCAAUAAAAUAUGUAUACAUGUAUAUCUCAGCAGUUACUGGUAUAGAAUAACAAUUCAUUUCUUCAUGAUGGUCAGGUCUUGGGUUGUAUUGAUAAGGAAAAUCUGUGUCCUAAGAUGGCCGACCAAGCAGU